rnacentral:rRNA from 1 species
UACGGGGGGGGCAAGCGUUGUUCGGAAUUACUGGGCGUAAAGGGCUCGUAGGCGGCCAACUAAGUCAGACGUGAAAUCCCUCGGCUUAACCGGGGAACUGCGUCUGAUACUGGAUGGCUCGAGUUUGGGAGAGGGAUGCGGAAUUCCAGGUGUAGCGGUGAAAUGCGUAGAUAUCAGGAGGAACACCUAUUGCGAAGGCAGCUCGCUGGGACGUUACUGACGCUGAGACGCGAAAGCGUGGGGAGCAAACAGG